GGAUAAAGUUGUAUUAGUGCUGAUAAUGUUGUUGAUGGGGGAUCCCCUUUUGGUGCACUUUUUUAUUUUAAUUCUUUUAUCUGAGAUUUUAGUUUUUCUUGGGAGUGCUUGAGGCUCUGAACUUGAGAUUCUUGACGUCUUUUGGAAGCUUCUGCAUACCAAUCAAAAAAUGUGUCCCACUGAGUCUGUGGUGGUUUAUUGCCUCUUGACUCAAGGGCUCCACGGAGAUGAAGGAUUUUACUUAAAUCAAAUGUUCCCUCCGGAGGAGACUGCAAGCUAGCAUCAUCUCUGGUAUACCCAUUCCAUUUACCUAGAAACGUACAACUCUUAUGGCCAUAGUGUGUGCACAUGUACAAUGCUGGAGUCCCUUCUGGCAGAGCCGGUACGUCUUUAGACCCUUUGCUUCCCAUAUCCUUAACCUCAAUUCACACAGGUCUUUCACACAGGGGAGGCUUAUUGAAGGUGUCUGGUCAGGUUGUGAGAUUUGCUAGCGGACAGAAAUGCUGUGGCUAAUGUCCAUAGCACCGGCACACAAUGCAGUUGCUCACUGUUAGACACUGCUCAUUCAUGAGAGUGGGGGUAGGGAAAAUUUGUCACACAACCCUGAUCUCCUUCAGUCCAAGAGUUUCCACCUUGCACCCUUGCUUUCGAAGAGCACACAGUCUGGUGUCCGCGGGGCAGCUGCACAAGGUUUCCACUCCUAGCUUCAGAAAGACCUCAUAGUUUUUUGCAGAACUUAACUCAAUUCACACAGGGAUUCAUUCAAUGACAGCAGCAACACAGUGUCUUUACUCUUUUCUUUAAUCUUAAUUCACAGUUCCUACUUACAUAGUGGGUCUGACAAUUCUGGCAGCAAAAGGGUUGGAUAGGGUAAGCCUCAAGCAGUGAACAGGAGACACACAGGCAGUCUCUGACUGAAAAGCCCCAAUAGAGAUUUCAAAAGGUCUCUUACCUUAGUUUGGCUAGCCGGGGCGUCAGUGAGGAGACGGUCUGUGGUUCAACUGAUCACUCCAGGCAUCUCUCUCCGAGUCACGGCACCAAAUUGUGGAAGAAAUCAAACUUCGCAUUGUGGUUGUAUUAGAAUUGGCAGAGCCAUCUAGGUUUAUUUAAAGCUAUACAAGUGAUCACAGGGAGAUUUCUCAAAGGAACUCUGACCUCUACACAUUUACAAGCGUAUUUAUACUUUAGACAGCGAGAAAAGAUGCAGGGUUCAGACAAAGCAACCUGGAGAGAAACAGAAAGAUGUUGGUCAUUUGUUUGUCACACGUAAGCAGUUUGCUUAUUCAGAAAAAAAAACCAAACACUAUGCUUUGGGAGCAGUUAUCAGCUUCUGGUUUGGUGGAAAGGAGGAGGUUAACAUCUGCACACAGACAAAACAAGACAUGAAGGUUUUUCCUUAUCUUAGAACAUUUUAAAACACAUAGCAUUAGCAUCUUUUUCUCUUCUCUUUCUCUCUCUUCUUAGUCAAGUAAGAGGCCUGGCUAAACUUAUUUCCAAAACAGAAAGACAUAUUAAAUAGUUGCUAUAUUCAAUGUGGACUAAAAAAAUCAUCUUGAAAAUCCACAGAGUUGACCCACCACUUGCUUUACUAAAUAACAUCUUUGAUAUUUGCAAUUUAUUUCUCCAGCCCCUUUUCCAUUCCAAUUUUCUCUCUGUAAAGCAAUGCAAUUAUGUAUUAUACAACUUGUUUAGGAGAUUCACUCUCACCAAGUCUCAGGUGCUGUGAUUAUGAAAAAGGAAAUUGAAAUGUAAUGGUUCCAUUAUUCCCAAUCUAUUCAAGAGAUGUAAUCUUGUCUUCUGAUAAAUGGCUGUCAACAGCUACUUCCAUGCCUUUAGCACUCCUAACCUGGGAUUCCCUUUUUUAUUUUCAGCAUCCAUGAUGGGCCUUAUAUUGAAACAUGCAGUUUAUUUAAAAUGCUUGAAAUCCACUAAUGCUUUUUAUUCCCUAGACUUCAUCCCAUUGAGUAAUAAAGAAACCACUCUCCAUCCUCAGAAAUUGGCAGGGAAGGAGUUAAACUUCUUCCUUGGGUUAGAAUAAUGGCCACAGGUGUUCCCUCUGGGGGCUGGAGAGGUGAUUUGAACCAGGUGUGGGGAAUUUAAUUAAUUAAGUAGUUUGCUGUGUUUGGAGCUGGAGCUUGAGUGCAGCAGUCUGCUGGAGAGAAGUCCUCAAGUGUUUGCUGUUGACUGCUCUGCAAAUACUUUGUCAAGUAACUGGUACCUGAAAGAAGACACACUCAUCCUUCAGCAUUUAUGAUGGGUGCUCAUGGUCCUUGUGGUGUUUAAACAAAACAUUACUUGAGGUGGAGAGAGAUCAUAAGAAACAGAUUGAGGAUUUCUUUGCCACGGUCUAUUCAUGCAGAGCUGGCAGAGAGAUGUGACAACCUUUUGGCCACAAAUCGCCCUUCUUCAGGUCUUGGAAAGAAGCAGACCUUUGGCCCUGUAUUUCAACGGAUGCUGAUUCUACACAAGUGGCCUCCCUUUGGACAAUUCUUGAUUUAGGAGAUUAACAGAUCCCCAAAUACACGGAAUUCAGUUCUCUUCCUCUUCCACUUCUUCCAGAAGACCACCUUCCUUUGAGUGUUGCUGCAGGAAAGGUAUUGCAGUUUAAAAAGUCAGUGCUGCUUCCCCUGCAUUUCAUCUCCCCAUUAGAUGGGAGACUUGAGCGACUGACCUUCUAAAUUAGCUUGCACAAGAAACAAGGUGAGACAGUAGGAGAAAGGAAACCAGAAUAUUUCAGUCUACCUACAAAUUGUAUUUAUACACAAACUUACUGCUUAGAUAAGAACAGCACUCUUAAUUUAAGUGCAUCCAAAUGAGUGUAACCCAGACUGCAAGAGGACAAUGAAGUGCCUUUGUCUCCAUCAACACACUUGGUAAUCUAAUUAAAAAUGUACAUGGAAGAUAUAACAGAAGUAAAGAGAAACUUUUUCCAAAAGCAAGUCUGCUGAAGACAAGGAGUAAGGUUAGUCUCGUCAGAGUAAGUGAAUCAAAAUCUUUUCCUUCUGCUCCUUCCAGGUUCAAGUGCCUAAAAGGAUGCUUUGCUAAACUCUGUAUUCUCGAAUUGAAAUAAAAAUUGUUCACCUUCAUGCAGAAAUUAGUAGGUUCUGCCCUGCGUUAGGUAUGCACCAGAGUAUAUCAUUAUAACUGUAUCUUCUGGGCUUUAAAAUCUGCAGUCUUGGUGUAGUGCUAUUCACUGGAGUGCUGGUUUAGUGAUGACUGUCUGAAGAAGACCCUCCAGCAACAGUUAUUUAUAGCAGCGUGUAGGGUCACCCUCCUUUUGCCUACACUCCUAACACCAUACUUCACAGGCUGCUUAUUGGGGUGAUGCACAAACACUUAACAUGAAGUACAAGAAUUCUGCAGCCCAUGAGAGGCUUUGUAAAGAUUUUUUUUUUUUAAUACCACCACAAGACUACAGCAGGUACCUAACCCCCUUAGGUUCAUCUGCAAAUCCCUACCUAUAGUGCUACUAUGUAAGCUUUUCACCCACCUCUGAAGUUCUGUAAUAAGAGCCUUAUGGCUGAUGAAGUUGUCCAGGAAACACUUUUAUUUUUCUAAUACAGGCUGUAACUAUUUCUAUAGUAUGGGAAUGAAGUGUGUUGGCAGCGGAUGUAAAGAAUCCCAUUACAGUCUAAGGGGUACGGUUCAGAGGUGGUUAGCUACAUUAGUCUGAAGUCAGGCAGCAGAUAGCAUUGUAGGACCUUUAGAUACUAACUGGUUCAGUGGCACCUGCCUUUUUAGGCAACCAUCUAUUUUGUCAGAUGCUGCAAAUGGGCUCAGGGAAGGGUGGUGUGAGCCUUGCUCAUUGCUCGAAGGUUGCCUCCAGUCAAUCCAGCUGCAAAUAAAUAGCUGGUCAUGCAGGCUGGAGAGUGGAAAGUAGGCAGAUGUAGUUUUAGCCACAUCACUGCCCUGUACUGUUGGCUACAGAAAGUCAUAUGUUGUAAGCAUGCCAGCCUGAUGGGCUGCUAGCCUCCAUCAGACUUGCAUUCUCUUACAAUAAGAUUUCUGUAGGAAUGUGUUGGUUUUCCCUUCUUCACAUAUUAUAUAGGAAUUUUCUGAGAGGACCUACAAUGGUGUCCCCCUACCCCCACAUAAACUUUUUUUUGUUUUUAGCCUUAGAUUUUAAUAAGUCAAUUGUUGGAAUCUAAACCAUCAGUGCUCCUGGUCAGGGAAGGCUUUGCACAUCCUGAAACAGAGCAGGAUUAGCGUGUGCGUGUGUGCACAUGCACACAUUUUAAAGCUAAGCUUCUCAACAACACCUGCUGCAGUAUACUGCAUUGCACUAUUCUCUUGCAACAAGUAUAUCCUCCUUCCAAUAUUUUAGCAUCUCUGAUAAUACACCUACUCUACUGCCUGCCAGCAUAAUUACAGCAAUCAGCAACUUAGUUCCAAGAGAACUAAAAUCACAAGCUAAACUUUCCUUAUUUUUAGGGAGUUCUUUAGCUGCCUCCUUUUAAAGGCUGUGCUUUGGUCUCUGCUUGCUGUUGGAGUGAACUCAGAUGGUGAUUUAGGGCUGUGGUGCUUAGUGAGGGGUCUGGUUCAGGCCUUGUAGUCAUAAGUAUGGCAGCUGCAUGCUGCCCAGGGCAGCCCCUGCUCCUUCUGCACUGACUGUGGCAAUAUGAUCAGCCACCACUGCAGCAAUGUCUGCUUUUGCACCCCACCAGGAAGGUGGUGCCAGGGGCUGUUACCCUGGUUGCCCUUUCAGUUAUGCUUCUGGUUGCAGUUCCUUUUUCACUGACCCCAGGGGGUUUUGGAUAGGGUCUCAAGUCAGUCCAACUCUUGCUGAAGUUAGGACUCGCAUGGAUCUCACAAGGAGAAGCAUUGGGCUGUAACAGAGGCCUCUGCUUGUGAUGAUGCUUUUCAUCUUCAUAAGAGACUGGUGACUUGGAGUUUUAGCCAGAUGCUUGGCUACUGUGCCUGCUCGUAGAAAGCACCCGCGACUUCUCUUUGGAACAGCUUCAAGGACUUUGGCUGGUUUGGCAGCUUCCAGACCCCUUCAGCUGAGUCAUUUCUCCUAGCAUCUGUCUCAGGCUGGCAGAAUGCUUCUGAGGAACCUCUCAAUUGCCAGCUAAAACUCUGCUGACCAAUACAACGUGACUUGGAGGAAGAGCAGGGACUUAGCCCUUUUUGCAAAUAUAAGCAUACAUAUUUAUACAGACUGGGAGAAUGGCAACAUUAACU